GGAGGAGUCCACGAGCGGAAAGGGCGGGAGGGGGCGUGGCCCCGGGCGCUGCAGCUCCUGGGCCGCCCCCCUCUGCCUCGGUGCCCUCCGGAAACUGGAGGAGCCGAGGACCCCCGCCCCGUUCCGGGGAAGGCAGGCUCGGUUCCGGAGGCGGAGUGCUGGCUGCGGGCUAAAGACCCCGAGGAAGGAGGAUGCUCCGGCACGACCCCGAGGUUUCGGGCAGCCGCCCUGGCGGGGGCCCUGGCGGGGCCGCUGUGCCCAGUCGGUGACCUGGCCAGCUGGGCUUGCCUCCAGCCGGUCUCUGGGAGUCGCUGGGGCCCGGGUCUGUCCAGGGGGCCAGGCGGUGGCGGUGGUGCGGGGAGGGCCACGCGGCCCCGGGGACUCGCUGCGGCCCCGCCUUCCCCGCACCCGCCGUCGCUGCGGUGGACCCCGCCGGACCCCGACAUCGCCACCCCGCGAGGCCUCGCCGAUCUAGGACCAUCACUGCCUUUUCCUUCCCUGACUGCUUAACCCGAACUGCCUUUGCGGGGGCGCCCGGUGGCUCGGGCGGCUAGGGUCGGCCUGGGGCUCAGGACACGAUCUCAGGGUCCUGGGGUCGAGUCCCGCCUCCGGCUUCCUGCCCGGCCCGGAGUCCAGUCCGCUUCCCUGCCUGUGCUCUGGCAAAAAGAAAUAAGAACUUUAAAAAGAGGAAGAAGAGAUGCCUUUUUUCUCUCUCCACUGGGUGGAACACCUACUCAUCAUCACUUCUUUGAGCAGCGUUACUUGCCUCCUCGUUUUAGGGCUUUGUUCCUGACUCUCGCGUAUCCGUCCUUGGUGCCAUCUCUUCCCCCAGACCACAGGCUUCCUGACAGUAGGAUUGCUGCGACGGCUGGAAGGGGAUUCCCUGUACUCUCCAUGGGAGAAAAUGCCACCAGAUGCCGGACGAGCAUCAUCUUUGGAGACCCUUCCCUGAGCCUCCUUGAGCGGGAGAGAUGCUCUUCUCCAAGCUUCCCUAGCCCCUGUGCACCUUAUCAAUCAUCACACUCAACACGCUGCGGUUACUGUC